rfam:Brachypodium distachyon strain Bd21 chromosome 1, whole genome shotgun sequence.
CCAUUACUCCCUCCGUCCCAUAUUAAGUGACUUUCUAUUACAUUACAUGUAUUUAGACAUUUUUUAGACAUAUAUACAUUCAUAUUUGAACAAAUUUGAAUCACUUAAUAUGAGACGGAGGGAGUACUGC